rnacentral:misc_RNA from 1 species
CCUAAGAGAAUAAACACGACAAGUACGUUUUUGCUGAUUUUCUGAUUUUAAUGUCGUUUCGAAGAAAAGAGAUGUUUAAAGCGAUUUGUCUCUGAAUGGAAUUACUAUAGACUUUGCGGACAAAGAUACGUAACUAAGUUUUGCAACCAGAAGAUUACAAAAUUUUCGCGAUCAGACAGCCACGGCUUGACACGCUCAGCCACGCUGACAAAAUCGACUAUAAGAUUAACAUUUGUUGAGAAUUGCGGAUCUUAAUUGUCGAAAUAAAAGUACAGGAACGCUAAGGUUACCCUUAAAAUUCAUAUUAAAAUAGUUUUAGAUUUAUUUAAUAAACGAUUUCCAGGAUCUUCGUCGAUAUACAUUUGCACGCGUCUCAGCACUCUCUUUGUCUCAGCAUCUUCCAUACCACACUGCCAACGGAACAGUUACAUUCGUCUGUUUUUCGGGACACCGCACACACACAUACUUCCGCACACUUAUAUUCACAUACGUAUGUCACUACUACGCGGCCACUCUAGUCUAGCACACAAAAUUAUACAUAUCUUAAUAACAUUAACCGAAACAUUCACCAAAAGUACGAUGAUCGAGAUACGGUGAACCUGAACUACCUGAACAAAGAAGCAACGUUCCUUUCGCGAUUCGCCGACGAAUCGAUACGAUAGCAAGCAACAACUAUCGUACGGAAUUUCAACGUAGAAUCUCACGAAUUAUAAUCCGGACCAGGCCUCCAGUUCCCAUCGAGAUUGGAUGCUAAUGUAUUUGCAGCUCUUAUUAGGAGGCACGCUGGCUUUGCACCGGUACGAUUCAAUUAGUGCGAGUUUACUAUCGCGCGGCAGAUCGCGUCGCGACGCUUGAGACUAGAAAGAGACGGUGGCUGGGCACGCCUACGGUUACGGGAACGGGACGGAUGGAUUUCCAAGGAUAUGUUUGCGUGA